UGGGGAAUCUUGGACAAUGGGGGAAACCCUGAUCCAGCCAUGCCGCGUGAAUGAAGAAGGCCUUCGGGUUGUAAAGUUCUUUCAGUGGGGAUGAUAAUGACCGUACCCACAGAAGAAGCUCCGGCUAACUCCGUGCCAGCAGCCGCGGUAAGACGGAGGGAGCUAGCGUUGUUCGGAAUUACUGGGCGUAAAGGGCGCGUAGGCGGUUACGUAAGUCAGAGGUGAAAUUCCCGGGCUCAACCUGGGCGCUGCCUUUGAUACUGCGUGACUAGAGAUUGAAAGAGGUAGGUAGAAUUCCUAGUGUAGAGGUGAAAUUCGUAGAUAUUAGGAGGAAUACCGGUGGCGAAGGCGGCCUACUGGUUCAUAUCUGACGCUGAGGCGCGAAAGCGUGGGGAUCAAA
rnacentral:rRNA from 1 species